rnacentral:rRNA from 1 species
AACGAACGCUGGCGGCGUGCCUAAUACAUGCAAGUCGAACGAGAAAGACCGGCUUCGGUUGGUCAAGUAAAGUGGCGAACGGGUGAGUAACACGUGGGCAAUCUACCUCUAAAUCUGGGAUAAUCCUUCGAAAGGAGGCUUAAUACCGGAUAACACUGCCGGAUGGCAUCAUCUGGCAUUCAAAGACGGUGCAAGCUGUCACUGAGAGAUGAGCCCGCGCUCCAUCAGCUAGUUGGUGAGGUAACGGCUCACCAAGGCAACGAUGCGUAGCCGACCUGAGAGGGUGAUCGGCCACACUGGGACUGAGACACGGCCCAGACUCCUACGGGAGGCAGCAGUAGGGAAUCUUCCGCAAUGGACGAAAGUCUGACGGAGCAACGCCGCGUGAGUGAAGAAGGUUUUCGGAUCGUAAAACUCUGUUGUUAGGGAAGAACAAGUACCAUAGUAACUGAUGGUACCUUGACGGUACCUAACCAGAAAGCCACGGCUAACUACGUGCCAGCAGCCGCCGUAAAAC